GUGGGGAAUCUUAGACAAUGGGGGAAACCCUGAUCUAGCCAUGCCGCGUGAGCGAUGAAGGCCUUAGGGUUGUAAAGCUCUUUCAGCUGGGAAGAUAAUGACGGUACCAGCAGAAGAAGCCCCGGCUAACUCCGUGCCAGCAGCCGCGGUAAUACGGAGGGGGCUAGCGUUGUUCGGAAUUACUGGGCGUAAAGCGCGCGUAGGCGGACCAGAAAGUUGGAGGUGAAAUCCCAGGGCUCAACCUUGGAACUGCCUUUGAAACUCCCAGUCUUGAGUUCGAGAGAGGUGAGUGGAAUUCCGAGUGUAGAGGUGAAAUUCGUAGAUAUUCGGAGGAACACCAGUGGCGAAGGCGGCUCACUGGCUCGAUACUGACGCUGAGGUGCGAAAGCGUGGGGAGCAAACAGGAUUAGAUACCCUAGUAGUCC
rnacentral:rRNA from 1 species